GAUGAACGCUAGCUACAGGCUUAACACGUGCAAGUCGCGGGGCAGCAUGGGGGUUGCUUGCAAUCCCCGAUGGCGACCGGCGCACGGGUGAGUAACGCGUAUCCAACCUGCCCUUCACCACGGGAUAACCCGGCGAAAGUCGGACUAAUACCGUAUGUUGUCCAUUGACGGCAUCCGAUUUGGACGAAAGGCUUGGCGGUGAGGGGUGGGGAUGCGUCCGAUUAGCCAGACGGCGGGGUAACGGCCCACCGUGGCUACGAUCGGUAGGGGUUCUGAGAGUGAGGUCCCCCACACUGGAACUGAGACACGGUCCAGACUCCUACGGGAGGCAGCAGUGAGGAAUAUUGGUCAAUGGGCGUAAGCCUGAACCAGCCAAGUAGCGUGCAGGAUGACGGCCCUAUGGGUUGUAAACUGCUUUUAUGCGGGGAUAAAGUGGCCCACGUGUGGGCUUUUGCAGGUACCGCAUGAAUAAGGACCGGCUAAUUCCGUG
rnacentral:rRNA from 1 species